rnacentral:lncRNA from 1 species
AUGGUUUCCUGCAACUUUCUACCUUUAACCAGAAUGGAAAUUUCUAUGUACUUCAUUUAUUUUUUAAAGCCUCCUUCAUUUCAGAAAGAUGAUUCCAAAUUAUAUUUUCACCAAUGGAGUAUCGAAAACUCCAUAUAUGCCAAAAAUAGUAACACUAGAAUUUCAAAUGCAUAUCCCAGAGCCAUGCUUCAUGAAAACUUCCUCUUUGAUAAGUUUACUUAUGAUUCUACUAUUAGAAAUCUACAUUUUUUCUCCAUCGCUACAUACCGUGUGUCCCAGAGACACAGCACAAAGAAAAUUGUUCCCAGUGCACUGUUUUCACAACUUUUUAUUUUGUAUUAGAGUAUAACUGAUUGGCAAUGUUGUGAUAGUUUCAGGUGAAUAGUGAAGGGACACAGCUGUACAUAUACACGUAUCCAUUCUCCUCCAAACUCCCCUCCUAUCCAGGCAGCUACAUAGCAUUGAACAGAGUUCCCUGUGCUAAACAGUAGGUCCUUGUUGAUUGUCCAUUUUAAAUAUAACAGUGUCCAUUUAAAAAUUCUUUUGUAUAGUAUUUGUCCUGAGACUUUCUCCUUACCUAUUUUGAUGAAGAAGUAUGGCUUGCCAUACUACUGAAAGUAACCUGAAAAUCUCUUCCCCCUUGUUGGCUUGAGCCUAGAGAAAAUCCUCUAUUGCCAGCUUCUUAGUUUCUCUCCUCUCGACUCUCCAGCUCUAUGAAAACACUCAAAUGAUAUAUGGUUGUCAAAGAAAGAGUUUGAUUUCUCAAAACUUUUGAAAUUUCCAAAGGUAUUGCCUUGCACGACAGACACACCCCACCCAAAGCCCAAUCUAGGUGGUACGAAUGUGGAUAAUCAGCCUGCCGUCCGAUACUAGAAACUUCCCUUUUGUGUAUUUCCAUGUGGCUUCUUUCUUUUCUUCAACAUUUUAAGAGAUUUCUUAAAAGUUUGUGAUUGGGGUAUGAUUGCUUUACAAUGUUGUAUUGGUUUCUGCCGUACAACAAUGUGAACCAGUCAUAAUUACAUAUGUAUCCCCUCCCUUUUGAGCCUCCCCCACCCCUCUAGGUCUCAGAGCACCAUGCUGGGUUCCCCGUGCUAUACAGCAGCUUCCCACUAGUUGUCUAUUUUAUACAUGAUACCCACUCCAGU